CCAAUAGCGUAUAUUAAAGUUGUUGCAGUUAAAAAGCUCGUAGUUGAAUUUCGGGAUCAAUAUAUCGGUCGUGCCAUUGGUACGUACUGGUAUCAUUGGUUUCUCCUUUCUGACGAACCAUGAUGUCAUUAAUUUGGUGUUAUGGGAAGUUAGGACUGUUACUUUGAAAAAAUUAGAGUGUUUAAAGCAGGCUUUAGCUUGAAUACAUUAGCAUGGAAUAAUGAAAUAGGACGUUCGAACCUAUUUUGUUGGUUUCUAGGAUCAACGUAAUGAUUAAUAGGGAUAGUUGGGGGCAUUAGUAUUCAAUUGUCAGAGGUGAAAUUCUUGGAUUUAUUGAAGACUAACUACUGCGAAAGCAUUUGCCAAGGAUGUUUUCAUUAAUCAAGAACGAAAGUUAGGGGAUCGAAGACGAUCAGAUACCGUCGUAGUCUUAACCAUAAACUAUGUCGACUAGGGAUCGGAUGAUGUUAAUUUUUUAAUGACUCAUUCGGCGCCUUACG
rnacentral:ncRNA from 2 species